CCAAUCAAAAGCGCGAGUCUGGAGCCGAAGUUGUGGGGGGAAUCGCCAAGCGUACCAGUUUUGGAGGUCACAGGUCCGCGGGGCGCAGCUAAUGGCGGAGCAAGCUGUGAGGGGAGGGUCGUCCAAUUGUCGUCAGCGUGAACGCGGGCGCCCAGUGAGUGUCUGAGAGAACCCCAACUCCAGACCCCAAAGUCUGCCCCGGCCCCGCGCUCGUCUCUGCCUCGUCGACUUUGUGUUAUACCACUUUCCCUUCCUUUUUCCCUGAGGAGUCCUUUUGGUCCCUCCCCUGCCUUUUCCCGCUCAGAAAGCCGAAUUUCGCAGAUUCUCAGCUCCGAGGAGAAAAUUUUGCCGGAAAUUAAAUCCUUCCUUCUGUUAGGCAGUAGUCGACUGAUGGGAGGAGCUAAAAGUCACUUGGUGUCCUGACAAGAUGUGUUACUCUUUUGCUAAGAUCGUCAUCUCUAAUGCUUUGAGGGAGAUAACUUCUGCACACCUAGAACUUUCGGAUUACUACCGAGCUUGAAGAAUCUUAUUUUGGAAGAGACUUUUUGGUUUUUCUAGACAUUGGACUUUCAUGUACAGUUAAAUUUUCAAGAUAAUUUUGGAGACUAACAUGGAGUUUUUUACUUUCAUUUUUGCCAAGGUAUUACACCAGUACCAGAAGACAGAACAAUGAACACAACAGUUUGGGUCCCUAAGGAGUAAAAUAAGCUAAAAAGGAAAAUAACAUUUCAAAGAAGAACCAAAGGGCUUCCCUGGUGGUGCAGUGGUUAAGAAUCCGCCUGCCAAGCCAGGGGACACGGGUUCAAGCCCUGGUCCGGGAAGAUCCCACAUGCUGCGGAGUGGCUAAGCCCAUGCGCCACAACUACUGAGCCUGCGCUCUAGAGCCCACGAGCCACAACUACUGAGCCCACGUGCUGCAACUACUGAAGCCCAUGCGCCUAGAGCCCGUGCUCCACAACAAGAGAAGCCACCACAAUAAGAAGCCGGUGCACCGCAACGAAGAGCAGCCCCUGCUUGCCGCAAAAGCCUGCACGCAGCAACGAAGACCCAACACUGGCAAAAAUAAAUAAAUAAAUAAAUUUAUUUUAAAAAAAGAAAAAACAGUCAAGUAGGGUAAUAGCUGUUUUAUGUAUAUGGAUUUCUCCCAUCACCCAAAUUUCUACUCGCCUUUUUCCCAGGGCCCUUGGUCACCUGAAUCCCACCACAUCCUGUGCUUGAUGAGAGUUCCCAAAUGCCUCUAUUUGAGCAUACCUCAGCUCCUUGUUUUGAUCCCAGAAAUACCCUCACCUAUCCAGGAUAUUCUAAGUGCCACAGAUGUUUAAAAGUCCAGUUCAUCCUCCCAGGCAGCCUUUAAAGGAAGUAGAUAGAUAUUCAUGUAUUUCUGCCAGAUAUAAAACUCUCUCGUUCUUGGCCUCUAUAAUGCCACUGUUUCCUGGUUUUCCUUUAUCCCUUGAUUAUUCAUUUCUUUUUUUACAGCUUUCUUUUAGUUUGCUCUUCACAAAUU